rnacentral:lncRNA from 1 species
AUCUGGAAAGGAAUUGGCUCGACUCUGCUCCGGCAAAGCUCCAUGUCGUCUUUUCCGGUGAACUCCGAGGUAAGUUUUCAUUAGCUCCAUCUUUGGGUGUUGUAUCUCUAGACCUGCAACUUUUUAUCAUAUGCAACUGAGCUAUUGGAACUUCAUUCUCUUCAUCUUUCCAUUUCCUUUCGCCAUUGAUGAUUUGUGCCUCUUUGCUCUCUAAAUCACCAAAGUAGUACUUAGUAGAUAGUAGACUUUAAAUUCCGAUAGGCUGAGUCUCGAAGCGGCUAAUACCACUUAUCGGAAAGGAAACUCAAAAGACAACUUAAAACAAACCGACUAGUUUACCAAGAAAUUAAUCGACAUCCAGUCCCUAAAUAAUCCACUUAACAUUCACCUUCUUUUUCUCAUGAUAGACUGAAUCUCAUAGAGAUCAAUACCACACAUCAAUGGGAGAAAUCUGGCUCUAUGUUUAGUAAAAUAUCAAAGACGAGAUGUCAAUACUGACUGUUGAAUAAGCGAUCAGCCGAUCAGAAACUUCCGCUUUUAAAACAUUAAAGAAUAACUUCACCUAAAUGCUUAUGUCGUAGUCUCUUCCCGUUGUACACCUUAAAAUAUCACCAGGUGGCAUAGUAAAGAGACUGUUUGAAAUCAUUUCAGGCAAUAGAUUAAGUAAGAUACCUUCUCAUGCUUUAACCCAGAGCCAAGAAAGAGAUUCAUUACUCCAAAUUAGAAGCUAUUUGUUAUUAAGUUGAGUAAGCCUCAAAUGAGGCAUACUUAACUUAUCCAAAUUUAAGAUUUUUUUUUGCUGCAACAGGCAUAUCUUGAAAAUUAUGCACCGUAAAAGUCCCUGCAAAAUUAACAGUUAGGUUAGCAAAAAAGUCAGCCAAGAAAUUGUCUUCCCUUAGAGUGUGUUUUAUUUGAGUAGGGACUUCUUCUCUCAUUCUCUUUAUUACCUCCACCUCCAUAACAACACUUCAAGGUACCUCCCAAUUUUUCUCCAGGAUAUUUUGCAUAGUGAGCGAAUCAGUUUCUACUAUUAGAGGGAUCAGAUUUCUCUCAAUACAAUAUUGAAUACCAUCUUUGAUUGCAACAGCUUCUGCAACUAAAUUAGUAGACUGGCAGUCCCUUUCCCUUUACCCCUAUAAUAUUUCCUUCACUAUUUCUCACACAAAAAGCAGCAGAACUAGUGCCAGGGUUACCUUUUGAUGAACCAUCAGUGUUGCAUAUAUACCAACCAGAAGGAGGGGGACUCCAUUUCACGAUUCUAUGACUUUAGCUUGACCUCCAAUUUUACGGUACUUCUACAAUUUGAGGCCACCGGUAGUUUGUUCCCCCAAAUUCUCCAAGUUAAAAAAUUCAUUUUAAAUGGCAAACCUUUCACCCAAAUAAGUUUAAACUAAAGAUCUUCUUUCUUUUUUUGUCUCUCAGCAGAUCCCAAGCAGUGCUUACUUUGAACUUACCUGUGCUAUUAAGUAACCACCAUGUUCUGUCACAUAGGUUACUGGAAUCAAAAUUUCCCAAUUGUUCCUGAAUGUGAUUAACAAUUCUCCCAGGCAAUAAUUGUUGUAGAUUUUUAAAGUCCCAACCUUCUUCAUUCAUCACCUCUGAUAGGUCCUUCAUUUCAUGUCUAAUCUAGCAUUCAGGGUCUUGAUGUAAAGGACCAAGUUUGGUCCAAUUUUCAUACCAAAUGUUAGUGGAGCCUCCUCUUGGUUCCCACCAUAGGUUAUUCUCUAAGAUAUCUCGAUUUUUCAACAUCAUCUUCCACACCUGUGAACCCCCUUUCCAAUUUACCAGAGUGGGAAUUUCUUUCUUACAGUAUUUAUUCCACAUAAAACUUGCACAAAUAGAAUUACUAGUUCUGAAUUUCCACCAUAAUUUUGCAAACAUUGCCGUGGAGGCAUCAAACAACAAUUUGAAUCCUUUUCUUCUUUAGGCAAACAAACACUUAGCCAAGUAGACCGGUGUUUACUUCUUCCCGUUUCUUUGCUGUUCUAGAAGAAGUUAGAAAAAUCUUGUGUAACUCAUUUAUCACACACAUAGGGGGAACAAUUGCCGAUAAGAUGUGGAUAGGAAUGCUUUGUAGAACACUACUAAUCAAAGUUGCUUUGCCACCAAAAGCAAGCAUUUUUCCUUUCCAUGUUUGCAAUCUAUCUUUGACCUUCUUGAUGAGUUCUGCAUAAUCCCUCUUUCUCUUUUUGCCAUGAGUGAUAGGACACCCUAAGUAGGUAAAAGGAAAUUGGCCUUUUGAAAUACUUGUACAAUUAUCAACUAAAACACCUAGUUGGGCACUAGUGUUUUGAUGCAUAUACGAGGAACUUUUUCCUUUAUUAAUCAACCGACCAGAUUGCGUUUCAUACCUACUCAACACCUUCAUUAUCUUUUUGAGAGACCUUUCGUGAGCUGCAGCAAAAAUAAUAGUAUCAUCUGCAUAAGCCAGAUGAUUCAAAUUUGUACUCCAUUUAGGCAUGUUGUAACCCAGAUACUGUACAUCAUCAAACAAGGAUUCAAAGCUCUAGUGAGAACCUCAGCACUAAGAAUAAACAAAGCAGGAGAUAAAGGGUCUCCUUGUUUCACUCCCCUCAUGGAAUGAAAGAAUCCAUGAGCAUGUCCAUUUAUUAUGAUUGAAUACCAAUUAUUAGCUAUAAACUUCCAGAUGAUAUCCACAAAUUCUUCAGAGAAUCCCAACUUCCUAAUUACUUUCAUCAAGUAAAACCAAGAGACUCUAUCAUAAGCCUUCAUCAUAUCAAGCUUAAUAAUUGUAUUAGUUGGUUUUCCCCUCUUAGUAAUAUCUGUAACAAUAUCUUGAGUGAGUAAUACAUUCUCAAUGAUGUUCCUCCCCUUCACAAACCCUGAUUGAUUAGAAGAGAUUAGCCUUGGCAACACCAUCUUUAAUCUAUCAUGCACAACUCUAGAAAUCACCUUGUUGACAAAAUUACUCAGGCUGAUAGGUCUUAGAUCAGAAAAGGAUUGAAUAUCAUUCUUCUUAGGUAAUAACACAAGCUUAGUAUGAGUAAUGGAUUUCGGUAAUGAAUUUCCUCAAAAGAAAGCCACUACUAACUUCCAUAAAUCCUCUCCUAGAAUAUCCCAACAACUCUAAGUGAUUGGAGAAAAUUCGAGCUCAAGAGUUGUGAUUUCCAUUUUGCAUAUGUGUGCAAGUGGAUUGAGCUCUUGAAGGACUAUGACCUCUAUAUUCUAUACCAUCCGGGCAAGGAGAACGUAGUAGAGGAUGCCUUGAGUAGAAAGGCGGUGAGUAUGAGUAGUCUAGCCAUUCUUUUAGCUUCGAAGCAACCUUUGGCUUUAGACAUUUAGUCUUUAGCCAAUAGGAUGAUUCAACUCGAUGUUUCACAUUCUAGGUGGGUGUUAUCAUAUGUGGGAGUUUAGUCGUCUUUAUUGGAGUGGAUCUGUCACGCCCCGAGCCUACACCCUGGGCGGGACCGACACUCGGAGACCAUUGCUGGCCCCAAGCGAACCCUUGGCUUGGCCAUUUAUGUAUAAGCCACUUGAAUUAUACGAAUGUAUAUGAUACAUCAUGUAAAUCAACAAACAUAACACAACAAACUUUUAAAUUGAACUGCAACACUGCUAAGGUAAAAUAUAUCAAAAUUAUAACUGUAUCAAAUACAGUUUUAAGAGUUUUAAUGUGUGCUUCAUUAAUAGUCUUCAGUGUAUAUGAUACAACAUAAUGUGGUGUAUAUGAUACAUAUACUACACGUUUGCAAAAGUAAAUUUUGGGACACUUAAUUUGGUUUAAAUAAUAAUCAUGGUAUUGAAUCAAUAUUGUCACGCCCCGAGACUACACCCUGGGCGGGACCGGCAAUCGGAGACCAUUACUGGCCCCAAGCGAAUCCUUGGCCUAGCUUUCUUAACUCAGCGGAAACUUAACUCAAUAGUACAACUCAAUGCAAUGAAAGGUUAUAAAACAACCAAUUGAUGCAUAACAUGCCAAAAGGCAGCUCGAGUCUCAAAAUAGAAUAUUUACAUAAAUACAUAGAUGAGAGACUCAAUACUAACUGACUGACUGACUGUCUAUGAAACCUCUAAAAAAUACUGGGAUGGAUGUUGGGACAGACCCCGCAACAUCCUAAUAACACAAAACUAAAGAAACAAAUUAUUUGAGUCCUCCGGAAAGCAAGGAGGCUCACCACUGACUCUGGAGUGCUCAGCUGGAUCAACGACGUACAGGAUGCUGAUCUGGGGUACCUGUGUCUGCAUCGUCAUAAGAUGCAGGCCAACUGGCAUCAGUACAUUGAAUGUACGAGUAUGCGAGCUGGACAGCUAAACCACAACUUAAGCUUGAAAAGAGUACAAGAGAACACUUACCUUGGUUCUGUUCAACUCAUGUAUAACCGAACUCUAUAUAUAAAGCAAUAAGACACAUGCAAUAUAUAAAACCUGUAAAACUCUUAAAACAUGACGUAAAAAUCAUAUUUAUAAUAUCAUGAAAAUACCAUACUUCCUCUCAAGGUCUACUUGUGCAAUGUAUGAAUGAAGUCCCAUACCCCCAUCCAUACUAAGCAGAACCCUCGAGGAACCAAGCUCUUUUUACUGUGGGAACUUCUCUAACCGACAAACCACCACUACGAGUAUGAGUGGUGAUACAACGUUUUACCUCACGUUGCCCGAGGACCAUCCUAUACCUUGCCGUGAUAUAGGAAGCUAACUUUACUAAGUGGAUCCACUAGCUUAACUUUACGGGUUCAUCUAAAAAGUAUGACCAGUUAACUCCCAUGUUGGCUACAUGGUUCUUAUGGAGAGUUGAGUUUAAUAUGAACUCGCGUCCCCAAAUCGCUGCUCGAUACUACUCCCAAAAUACUUUAGCUCAUAAGUGUUUUAAACACAACUUUCUUUAGUUUGAGAUAAUUACUCAAAAUCUAGCCCAAAGGCUCACUUGGAAACGAUGUUCCUUUUUCUUGAAAACUAGCACAAAGGCUCUUUUNNNNNNNNNNNNNNNNNNNNNNNNNNNNNNNNNNNNNNNNNNNNNNNNNNNNNNNNNNNNNNNNNNNNNNNNNNNNNNNNNNNNNNNNNNNNNNNNNNNNNNNNNNNNNNNNNNNNNNNNNNNNNNNNNNNNNNNNNNNNNNNNNNNNNNNNNNNNNNNNNNNNNNNNNNNNNNNNNNNNNNNNNNNNNNNNNNNNNNNNNNNNNNNNNNNNNNNNNNNNNNNNNNNNNNNNNNNNNNNNNNNNNNNNNNNNNNNNNNNNNNNNNNNNNNNNNNNNNNNNNNNNNNNNNNNNNNNNNNNNNNNNNNNNNNNNNNNNNNNNNNNNNNNNNNNNNNNNNNNNNNNNNNNNNNNNNNNNNNNNNNNNNNNNNNNNNNNNNNNNNNNNNNNNNNNNNNNNNNNNNNNNNNNNNNNNNNNNNNNNNNNNNNNNNNNNNNNNNUUGGGGCGCGCUGGCAGGCGCGACGCGCCAACCCCCUCGCCCAGAUACUCGACUUUUCUCCCUUAUUUUGCCAACUCUAAAACACCCUUACUUCAAGGGCUUCAACCCCAAACACUAAGGAUCAUCAUAUCCCUCAACAUACCAUGGAUUACAACUCAAAACACAACCGGAAACAAGUCCCAAAUCAACAAGAAUCUCAACAACGACAACUAACAACUUCAACAACUUCAACAACAAAUCCAAUCUCUUUUCAAAUAAAAAAAAAUGAGCUUGGUGUGUGGGGGAAAGUAUCAACCCACACAAAGAACUCACAUACCUUGAUAGGGAUCACCCCCGACGAUUUCCACAACGAUCUUCGACGGAAACUCCUUGAUCUCCUCUUCUUCUUCUCUUCUUUCUCUCUUCUUCUCCUCUUCUUCACUCCAGAACCCUAACUCUUUACUCUUUUAAAAUGGAACAAAAAUUAUCCACAAUAAGUCUAACACAACAUUAUAACCUCAAAAGAAAUGAUUUGUGAAAAGACCAAAAUGCCCUUAAAUUUCCGGACGGAUUCCCUGCCAAUUGCCCAAUUUUCAAAGGGCAUAACUCACUCAUACGAGCUCGGAAUCGAGAAAAUUCGGUGGCGUUGGAAAGACCAUUCCAUGAGCUAUGCAACCAUAACUGGAACUACACCUAACUCAUCCUGAGCCAGGAGUUAUGUCUGUUCAAAUUUGGCCAAAAACUCACCUUUUCCAUACUUGGAGCCAAAUUUCCAGAUUUUUAAAUCUUUCCAAAAUAUAACCUCAAAAGAAAUGAUUUGUGAAAAGACCAAAAUGCCCUUAAAUUUCCGGACGGAUUCCCUGCCAAUUGCCCAAUUUUCAAAGGGCAUAACUCACUCAUACGAGCUCGGAAUCGAGAAAAUUCGGUGGCGUUGGAAAGACCAUUCCAUGAGCUAUGCAACCAUAACUGGAACUACACCUAACUCAUCCUGAGCCAGGAGUUAUGUCUGUUCAAAUUUGGCCAAAAACUCACCUUUUCCAUACUUGGCCAAAAUUUUCCAAAAUUUUCAAAUUCUAAGCCUCUUCUUAGUUAUCUCAUUUUGCCGGAUGUUACAGGAUCAAUGGUCGUCAGUUUGAGGGUGAGGCCUUGAUUUUUUUCUGAGAUCGGGUUUUGCAAGGUGAUGUUGGGAAGGCUACCUUGGAUUCUGACAGGGUUUUGAGGUUUGAAGACCGUAUUUGUGUUAUGAGAGUUGGUGAUAUAUAUUCUUCAACUGAUCCUUCGUGAGGCCCAUGAUUCCAAAUAUUCUAUCCAUUCAAGCACCGUGAAGGUGUAUUGCGAUUUGAGGCAGCAUUACUAGUAGGUUAUAGUAUGUGCAAUCACGACUCGAGUUUUCGGGUCGUGACACAAUAUAAUCAAAUUUACAUUUGAAAAACAUAAUAACAUGAUUAUAUGUACUUAUUACUAUAAAUAUAACCAAUAAUGUAGAUUUCUAAAAUCUUUUCCUCUUUGAUUAUUUAAUCAUAUUUAAAGUUUUGAACAAAAGUAAUAGUUAUAUAAUUUUUGUAUGAAUUAUGAUAUGAAUUCUUCCAUAUUCAUUGCUCUAAUGAAUUAUUUUGAAAGGUUUUCAGAAGGUUGCAAAUUUGAAAUAAUUUCAAAAACAACUCUAGCAAAUGUAAUAAGAUAAACAAUUUCAUCAUGUGCCCACCUAAGGCUCCUUACUUGGUUUAUAACAUUGUGGAUGCUGUGAAGACUAAGGCUUAGGAUAUGUCCCAUGGGUCCGUGUUGUCGUCUACUGAUCAUCAAGCAUGUGAUCAUAGCUGAAUAGGGAGGAUGUUUGGGAUGGUUGAGGUUCAAUUGUGCAUUGGUGGUCUCACAGCUACCGGUGGGAGGUGAAUUCUUUGGCAGAGAACUACCCAUUGACGGAAAGUGCAUUGAACAUGUGUAGGAUAGGCCCGCAUUUCAAAAGCUUGUGGAUAAUGAUGAGGCUACUAUUAAUGAUGAUAGUGAUGAAGAUGAUGAUGAGGAGGUUGAUGAUGCUGAUACAAUGCUCACGUUGGUAGAUAGUCCAACUGAUGCGACGAAUGAGAAUGCUGCUGAUGAUGGUGAGGGAGCCUAGAUGCCUGAGGGAGUUCUUUCUUUUACUCGAUACUUAUGUUCUGAUUUUGUUGCACUAGGGACAAUGAUUUGUCUAAGUUUGAUGGAUUUCCCUAGUAGUUGUUUAUUAAUUUGUGGAAUCUUUUUCUAUUUUUAGGUUGGGCUCCUCAUUUUUUGUUUUCGAUUUCUUUUCUUGAGGACCUCGAAUAGACUAGGUUUAUGUUUUGUGUUGUGUUUUGAUUAGUCAAAGUUUGCAUAGAACUAACUAUUCCAGAUGAUGAAUGGAUGACGACCAUUUUAAGAGAAAAUUAGUCAUUAAGUGUUAGGUCCAGAAACUUGACCUUUGGUGCUUUGAAACCUUGCUUAGAAGUCAACCAGACGGCAUGGGUAGGUCAUUCUUGAGCAUGCUAAUUAAUGAAGUUACUCCAUGAGAAACACAUAGGCUCUUUGAUUGGACUCUGAAAAGAUAAAAACAAAUUAAGAUUAAUUUUGUCGAAAUGCACUCAAUGUGUCAUGUGUGAGCAUGCUAUUUGUGUAAUCUUGCAUGUAUGUCAUGGUUCCAUGUUUGGUGAGGAUUGCUUUGUUCGUGUAUAAAACUUCAUCUAGAACUUGCAUGAUGUGUGUGUGUGACAUAUAGACUUGCAUGAAUUUUGGAAUAUUAUCUAGGCAUUUCUUUGCAUAGCUCAUUUGAUUCUAGUGUGUGCCUCCAUGAUAUUGUCCCUAGUGAAGCUCCUUUGAGCCUUUUAGCCAAUAAUUCUUUGAUAAGCCGCAUGAUGAUCCAAAUACAUUUUGUUGGUACCCUUUCUUAGUUAAUGCACUAUGUAGUGAAGGAUGGGUUCACCAAAAGAUAGAGUGAUGCAAAAGAGAAAGUGUGAGUGUGGUAAAAGAAAACUGGGGUGAAAAGAACCCAGAAUUAAAGUACAUAAGUGCUUGUUGCAUAGAAAAAAAGAAGCUAAAGAAAUAAAAGGAUAUGCUAGCAAGUGGUUGAUUGUCUAAAGGGCGGAAACCAAAAGAUAAUCAAGGAUGGUCAAGAGGUGUGAGCAUAAGAAGUGAAGUAAGGUUAAAAAAGGAAAUAUGGUGAAGUGUCGAGUGGUAAAACAACUGCAUUAAGGAGGAAAGUCACCAAUUAUAUCCACAACGUAUCCUCCCCAUCACGAAACCGAUAUUACAAUUGAAUAAAGCUUUUUUUUAUUCCAUGAAUGAAUGCAUAAUCAAGGUCAUCACACACAAAGGGAAAGCCUAUGACAUGUUGUGAUAUGUGAAAACAUCUUUUGUGAUAGUGAGAGCUUGAAUUGUGAAAAUUGGCCCUUUGAAAAUUGAAAGCAUGUGAAUAUAAGCUAUGUUGAGAGAAGGGUUGUACAAAAAUAGUGAGGGCACUCAUGACAUGCUAGAGAAUAUUGUUGGUUGCUUGUUCAUACCUGAUUGCAUUGACUGGUAGAAUUGUAAGGAGUCUACCGAGGAGGUUACGUUGUGUCUUGUGGAGUAUUGUGGUGCUAAAAAAAUGUGUAUUUUAUUGCAUGAGGUGUGAACUACAAAAACAUGAUUAAAAAUUAUCUGGUUGGUUCAAAUGCAUGUGGAUGAGUCCGUAGGUGUGAAUGGUGAAUCGAUAACGGAUGGUAUAGAGAGUUGUUCGAGGAUGAACAAAGGUUUAAGUGUGGGGUGGUGAUCUUGGUCGUAUUUAUAUGCUUAUUUACUAUGAUUUUCCCACAUGUGCCUUAUGUUUUAAGAGUAUUCUUUAUGCUAUUUUCUAUGUUCUGAUUGAUAUUGCAAUGAUUGCACACUAAGACAUGUGAUUAGCUAAUGCAGGAGUUUUUGAAGGGACAUUGAGCAGAUGAGAGAUUGAACAAAGGAAGAACCCUUUAUGCUUUUUUACAUGAAAACAAUUAUAUUUAUGCUUUUUUAUUAGCAUGAGUAGCUAAGAACCCUUAUUUUGUGGCAGCGACUACGAAUGACUGUUGAAAAUUGAUUUUGUUUGGAUCAAGUUAGUUAUCGUAUAAAUUAUGCUUGGCCUCCAAUAAAAUAAAUACAUUGUUUACUUUUAAACUUGAGAGAGG